AUUGAACGCUGGCGGCAGGCCUAACACAUGCAAGUCGCACGAGUGGCGGACGGGUGAGUAAUGUCUGGGAACCUGCCCGAUGGAGGGGGAUAACUACUGGAAACGGUAGCUAAUACCGCAUACCAUCGGAUGAGCCCAGAUGGGAUUAUCUAGUAGGUGGGGUAACGGCUUACCUAGGCGACGAUCCCUAGCUGGUCUGAGAGGAUGACCAGCCACACUGGAACUGAGACACGGUCCAGACUCCUACGGGAGGCAGCAGUGGGGAAUAUUGCACAAUGGGCGCAAGCCUGAUGCAGCCAUGCCGCGUGUAUGAAGAAGGCCUUCGGGUUGUAAAGUACUUUCAGCGGGGAGGCGUUACCCGCAGAAGAAGCACCGGCUAACUCCGUGCCAGCCGCCGCGGUAAUUC
rnacentral:rRNA from 1 species